rnacentral:lncRNA from 1 species
AAAAAAGAAAAAAAAGUUUUUGGAAAAAAAAAAACUUUUGUUCAUUCCUUCAUUUAUUCCUUUAUUCAUAUAAAAGAUAUAAUAAUCUGCUUUCCAAAUUGCAUAUUUCCUACUUGAGUAUAGAAACAAUAUAUGUGUAUUUUAUAUCCUUAUUUUCCAUCUUAGAAUCAAUAAUAGUUCCAAGGCAGAAGAGCAGUAAGGGUUAGGCAAUGGGGGAUGUAAUGGGGGGGGGGGUUAUGUAGGGAGAGAGGAGAGGGAGAGAAUGGAGUCUUCCCUCCCUCAAGUCAGAAUCAAGGGAGGAGGAGUUCAUGUUGGUUUUUGGACCAAGAGGUAGAAAGAGGGCUGCUACUCUCCUGUGCCUAUGAAGCAACUGAAGCAACAGACUAUAUGUGGAAUUUGUGCUUGGAUUCUGAGUCAACAUGAAGCAUAUCUAGAAUGCCACUGCUUAUCUUGAAAGGAAGGAAACAGUCAUUUUGUUCCAGACAUAUUCAAAUACAAACAGUUGAAAGAAUGAUAAUUUUUUUUAAAAAGCCUUCAUUGUGCCAGUUUGAAUCAUUUGAUACUUUUAUUUGGUUGAAACUCUAUCUCUUUGAAAAUGUCCUCAUCUCUGCUUAGAAAAGAAAACACCUACUAACAGCCUAAAGGAAUUACGAAAUAAUCAUCAAACUCCAGUGGCAAGACAAAAGUCAGGAUGACUCACGAUGGCCCAGAAUGGAGCGGAUGACCCUGGUGUUUUCAAUAUCUGACCAAGCUCAACGUCUCUAUAGUAUCUGCUUCAGCCAAUUUCAUGGCUGUUGAAACAAUUGUUAUUAUCUGCCCAUUCCCCCUGCAGAAAUCUUCACAUGUUUGGGGUAGACACCCCUUAACUCACUAACAGUUUUGAGGACUGUGGUUUGCCCUAAACUUGGUUUAGUCAGCCUUUUGAGAAGAUUUUUAAUCAGGGUAUUGCCUCUGUGCAUUGUAUAGCUUCUUGAAACCACAGGUGAGAGUUGAAUACCAGAUAGAACCUAAAGUUGAGUGCCAGGUGGAUACCAAAGCCCUGAAAAGGGCUCAGAAAACCUCCACACCAGAGAUGUUAGUCCUCUUUGAACAUCUCAAGAACAAAGAGGAUGGAAAUUAGGUGCAUAUCUUACCCUGAGCUCUCCUUGAACUAAGGAUCUUAUGCCUGAGAAGCUACAUCUAAUUCAAAAUCCAUCACGGUGUAACUUGGAUUGUGCUUUUCUUCAUAUGUUUUCUUGUAUUUCUUGAAUUUUACACCACUAUGUUUCCUAAAAUUAAAAAAAAAUGGCUAUUCAACUUUAGUUUUGCACAUGAAUUCCCAAAUAACUUAUCUUCUUAGUUCUAAUCAACAUAAGAAUCCUGGGAGUGGGAACCACAUAAUGGAAUGUCAGAAAAGGAUAUUCUUUAAGUUUGGGCUGAUGCUUUAGCCCUAGAGGAGAAACAGCUUUUUUUCCUCCUUAGAAUGAGAAAACAUUCAAUCAUACAGAUGCCUGGUACUAAUGUCCAAUAGCAGAUUAAAUCCACAAUAACAAUAUUUUGUAUCUUCUAAUGAGCUUAAGCUGCUUUCUAAACAUAGGGAACUCUCUUUGAGAUGAGAGAGAAGUAACUCACUUUGAUGAGCUCAAUAAAUCAAUCAAUCAACACGGAUU